rnacentral:lncRNA from 1 species
ACUUUUUGGAUCGGCAUCUAGUCUUUCCGCUUCUUGAAUUUCUCUCUGUAAAGGAGAUAUAUAAUGAAAAGGAAUUAUUACAAGGUAAAUUGGACCUUCUUAGUGAUACCAACAUGGUAGACUUUGCUAUGGAUGUAUACAAAAACCUUUAUUCUGAUGAUAUUCCUCAUGGGAUGGUAGGAUGCUCUUUGACUACCUGGCGGACAAGCAUGGUUUUAGGCAG